UGUAAGCGUAUACCAAAGUUGUUGCAGUUAAAACGCUCGUAGUCGGAAUUUGGCAGUUCCGGAUGUGUGCACGUCGUGUGCGCACUUCGCGGGGAUUGCUUUUGUGGUCUUGCGUAGGAUGAGGCACUUUUAUUAGUGAACGUCCUCACGCAACCACUUUUUACUGUGAGAAAUCAGAGUGCUCAAAGCAGGCAUUUGCCGUGAAUGUAUUAGCAUGGAAUAAUAGAAUAGGACUUGGUUCUAUUUUGUUGGUUUGUUGGGACUGAGUAAUGAUUAAGAGGGACAGUUGGGGGCAUUUGUAUUUCGGUGCUAGAGGUGAAAUUCUUAGAUUACCGAAAGACAAACUGCUGCGAAAGCGUCUGCCAAGGAUGUUUUCAUUGA
rnacentral:rRNA from 1 species